rnacentral:rRNA from 1 species
UUUAGUGCCCAGCAGACGCGGUUAGACUUAGGGGCCAAGCCUUUAUGAGCAAAGGGGCGUAAAGGGUGUGUAGGCCGACCGCCCCACCCCCCCCAAGGUGGUAAAUGGAAUUUUUCUGUAGCGGUAGAAUGUGCGGAUAGAAAAUAGAACCCCAAAAGCUGAAGCAAUUUACCGCGGGGCGGGAGGGGGGGCCCCCUGGGGCGCCCCCCCGGGCUACGGGCUGAAACACGAGGGUGUGGGGAACAAACAGGAUUAGAGACCCUGGUAGUCCACACUGUAAACGAUGGAGAAAAUGCGAAUGCAGCCCCGAAAGGCAGCAAUCUCCCGCCUGAGUAGUACGAUCGCAAGAUUAAAAUUCCAAAAAUUUGGCUGUUCACCGUUUCGAUUAGAGGAGCGUGUAGUUUAAUUCGAUAAACCGCGAGAUACCUUACCCAAACUUGAAUCCUUGAGGAUUCCAAGGAAUCCUUAUGGACCGGUAUUGCAUGGCCGUCGUCAGUUCGUGUAUGAAACCUUAAACGGACCCAACCCGAGGAUUAGCCGCGGAUGAAGUCAGGUCUUAUGGUCCCAAUGUUUGGGGAUAAUAUGCGCUACAUUUUCUUAUACAAUGGGAAACCUGGGAGGUGAAACCCAAAAGUGAGAGUUAUUGUAGCAGCAGCGAAGGUGGUUGGACACGGUGCUAAGUAGCAGUCAGAUGAGAAUAACCUAUGAGUCA